rnacentral:rRNA from 1 species
GAUGAACGCUAGCUACAGGCUUAACACAUGCAAGUCGAGGGGUAACAAGAGAAAAGCUUGCUUUUCUUGUUGACGACCGGCGCACGGGUGAGUAACGCGUAUCCAACCUGCCUAUAACUAGGGAAUAACCUUGCGAAAGUAAGACUAAUACCCUAUCAUUACCUUUGAUGACAUCAGAUUAGGAAUAAAGAUUUAUCGGUUAUAGAUGGGGAUGCGUCUGAUUAGCUUGUUGGCGGGGUAACGGCCCACCAAGGCAACGAUCAGUAGGGGUUCUGAGAGGAAGGUCCCCCACAUUGGAACUGAGACACGGUCCAAACUCCUACGGGAGGCAGCAGUGAGGAAUAUUGGUCAAUGGGCGGAAGCCUGAACCAGCCAAGUAGCGUGCAGGAUGACGGCCCUAUGGGUUGUAAACUGCUUUUAUACAGGAAUAAAGUUAGCCACGUGUGGUUAUUUGUAGGUACUGUAUGAAUAAGGACCGGCUAAUUCCGUGCCAGCCGCCGCAGUAA